CUACGGAGGCAGCAGUAGGGAAUAUUGGUUAAUGGGCGAAAGCCUGACCCACAACCCCGUGCGCAUGAAGCCUUCGGCUGUAAAGCGCUUUUAAGUGGGAUGAGGAAGGACAGUACCACUAGAAUAAGUCUCGGCUAACUACUGCCACACCGCGUAACACGUAGAGACGAGCGUUAUCCGGAUUUACUGGGUGUAAAGCGCGUGCAGGCGGUUUGGAAAGUUGGAUGUGAAAGCUCCUGGCUUAACUGGGAAGGUCGUUCAAACUACCAACUAGAGUACAGCUAGGGAGUGGAAUUCCGAGUGUAGCGUAAAAUGCAUAAUAUUCGGAAGAACACCAGUGGCGAAAGCGCUCCCUGGGCUGAAACUGACGCUCAGACUCGAAAGCUAGGGUAGCGAACGGGAUUAGAGACCCCGGUAGUCCUACCGUAAACGAUGUGACUUGGCUAGGCGGGUUGAAAUCCAUCUGUGCCAAGCAAACCGAUAAGUCCACCACCUGGGGACUACGGCCGCAAGGCUAAAACUCAAAGGAAUUGACGGGGGCCCGCACAAGCAGCGGACGUGUGGUUUAAUUCGAUGUUACACAAGAACCUUACCAGGUUUGACAUGCAAUGGUAAGAACGAAGCGGAACGACCCUUCGGAGCUAUGAGAA
rnacentral:rRNA from 1 species